rnacentral:rRNA from 1 species
UGGGGAAUAUUGCGCAAUGGGCGAAAGCCUGACGCAGCGACGCCGCGUGAGGGAUGAAGGUUUUCGGAUCGUAAACCUCUGUCAGAAGGGAAGAAACCGCACUGUGCUAAUCAGCAGUGCCUUGACGGUACCUUCAAAGGAAGCACCGGCUAACUCCGUGCCAGCAGCCGCGGUAAUACGGAGGGUGCAAGCGUUAAUCGGAAUUACUGGGCGUAAAGCGCACGUAGGCUGCUUUGUAAGUCAGGGGUGAAAUCCCACGGCUCAACCGUGGAACUGCCUUUGAUACUGCUUAGCUUGAAUCCGGGAGAGGGUGGCGGAAUUCCAGGUGUAGGAGUGAAAUCCGUAGAUAUCUGGAGGAACAUCAGUGGCGAAGGCGGCCACCUGGAUCGGUAUUGACGCUGAGGUGCGAAAGCGUGGGGAGCAAACAGG